rnacentral:rRNA from 1 species
CAAUAGCGUAUACUAAUGCUGUUGCAGUUAAAAAGCUCGUAGUUGAACUUCUGGUAGGAGUGUCCCGGCCUUUUUGUUUUUACAAAUUGUAUGCUGUGUGACAUCUCUGGCCAUCCUUCUUCUUUGUUUAAAGAAGAUCUUUCACUGUAAAAAAAUUAGGGUGUUCAAAGCAAAAGUUUCUUUGGAAUAUAUUAGUAUGGGAUGAUAAGAUAGGCUCUAGAUGCUAUUUUGUUGGUUUGCACAUUUAGAGAAUGAUUAACAGGGACAGUUGGGGGUAUUCGUAUUUACAUGUCAGAGGUGAAAUUCUUGGAUUUUGGAAAGACGAACUACUGCGAAAGCAUUUACCAAGGAUGUUUUCAUUAA